GGAAUAUUGGUCAAUGGGCGAAAGCCUGAACCAGCAACGCCGCGUGAGGGAUGACACACUAAGGUGCGUAAACCUCUGUUAGGAGGGACGAACACUUCCGAUGAUCUCGGGAGCUGACGGUACCUCCAGAGAAAGCCCCGGCUAACUCCGUGCCAGCAGCCGCGGUAAUACGGAGGGGGCAAGCGUUGUCCGGAAUCACUGGGCGUAAAGGGCGUGUAGGCGGGAUUGUAAGUCAGUGGUGAAAUCUUGGGGCUCAACCCCAAGCCUGCCUCUGAGACUGCAGUUCUUGAGUUCGGAAGAGGGAAGCGGAAUUCCCGGUGUAGCGGUGAAAUGCGUAGAUAUCGGGAAGAACACCAGUAGCGAAGGCGGCUUCCUGGUCCGUAACUGACGCUGAUACGCGAAAGCGUGGGGAGCAAAC
rnacentral:rRNA from 1 species